AUGUCAAGAGUAGAUAAUGUUGAUGACUAAUGGAAGAGUAGUUUAUACAGCGUGGAUACGCUGGGCAAAGAGAUGGUUCACAUUCCACUUGGAGCAGGAUGGUGCAAGAUUUCAUCACACUUCUCAGAACAACACACAGUUUAAAACUUAAUGACUUUUUUAUUUCUGGAAUUUCUCAUUUAAAAUUUUUGGACCACAGUUGACUGCAGGUUGUAAAGCUCUCUGAAAUAGUGACCUUAGCGAAGCAAGCACAUGUGGAUGUGAAAUUUCAGUUGCCAAUAUGAUCUGAAAACCCAGUGGAUGGCUGAAGGAGUUGAUUGACCACCAGUUGAGAGCCUGCAGUUCAUCAGUUGAGAGUGACAAUUCCAGAGUGACCAGCUGAGCAUGUAAUAUGAAGGAAACUGGAGAAAAGCCUCAACUACUUUAUGAUUAUUCCUAUGAUUUGUUCUUAAAGCAGAGAAGCAUC
rnacentral:lncRNA from 1 species